UUUAGGGUUGUUGAUACCUCAACUGGGCUCAAAUUAUAGAAGAAUUGUCGUUGAUAUUCCUUUUUGAUGAUGACACCUGUUGGAGGUUGAUCUUAGCUCAAACCGAAUGUGUAAUCGAAAAAAAUCCACGAGCGAUUUUUCUCUUCCUGAAUUUUCCCCCUUUAGCAUACGCAAUAUAUUACACUAUCAAUACUGUAUGUAGCGAAUGACUUAACUAUUAACAUACAGAGGAGCGAUCGAUUUGAUAAACCUGAACUAGUAGAUCCAGGUUUUUCCAUAAAAUGUUAAAAUUAAUGACUUUUUUAUCUGUUCAGUUUAAAUUCAAAAGGAAGGAAAUCUAUCGAGAAGAUGUAUCACAGUAGGAUACGUAAACUUCACGAGACGUGUAUGCAUGUUUUUCGGAUGAUUUGACUUGAUCACUUGUAAUCGAUAUCUCUAUAUAUAUGCUGAAAUAAAAAGAUCAAUUAUCUUCUUCUCUAAAAAAAAACAGAAAGUGAAACUCCUCUUAGAAAACAGCAAAACAGAGGCAGUUGCAGGUUUUUGCUCUGUUUUGCUGCCCUCUCUCUCUCCUCAACUCUCUCUCUAAGUUUGUUCUGCAGAGCCUAUUUCAAAGCUCUUCGUUUUUCGACUAACAACUGGUAUCAGAGCCUGGUUCUCCCCCGUAUCAGGUGAAUCAAAAAAAAUUUUCUCAAACCCGAUGGCAACCUCAGGAACUACCCCUGCUCUGCAGUUCAACGGAGAAAAUUACCAUAUGUGGGCAAUAAAGAUGAGAGCUCACCUCAAAGCUCUAGGUUUAUGGGACGUUAUUAUAGACGAUAGCGAACCAACUCCACUACAAGAAACUGCUACCUUGAACCAGAUUAAAAGACAUGAGGAAGAGAAGACCAAGAAACCAAAAGCACUUGUCUAUCUCUUCUCAGCGGUUUCGGACAGGGUUUUCUCUAGGAUUAUGAACUAUGAAUCACCUAAGGAAGCGUGGGAGAAACUGAAGGAAGAGUUUGAUAGAGGAGACAGAAGCAAGAAGAUCAAGUUACUGAGGUUAAAAAGUGAAUUUGCAUUAUUCAGAAUGCAGGAAAAUGAGUCUGUUAGGGACUAUGCCUCCAAACUCUCGGAUAUUGUGAAUAAAAUGAGAUUGUUGGGGGAGGACUUUCCUGAAUCAAGGGUGGUAGAACAAAUUCUUAUAAGCUUACCACUAAAAUUUGAGUCUAAAAUCUCAGCUUUGGAGGAACAUGCAGAUAUUGAUAAGAUUUCUUCAGCUGAACUAAUCAAUAAGCUGCAAAUACAGGAGCAACGUGUCAACAUGCAUGCUCGUGUACCUAUUGAAGGAGCCUUAUUCUCAUCUCAAGUCAAAGCUACCCCUUCAAAUCAGUAUCAAGGGAGAAGGAAUGGAGGAAAUCAAACUGGAAACUAAAGUUUCAGAAAACAGAAGAAGUAUCCUCCUUGCAGCAUUUGCUCCCUCACAAAUCAUUUUGAGAAUGAAUGCUGGUAUAAGGGAAAGAAAGCUAUCCAAUGCAACUUCUGCAAAAGAGUGGGCCAUAAGGAGAAGUUCUGUCGGCAAAAACAAAAGCUGGAAGCGGCACAAUCUAAGCAGGAGUUGCAACAUAUAAAUAUCACUGAGAUAUCCAGUGAGCAAAGUAAUACAAUUCUUGUUACUUCAAGUGAAUUGACAGUGGAAGACGACAGCCUCUGGGUUGUUGAUAGUGGUUGCACUUCUCACAUGUGCAAGAAUGAAGCCAUGUUUGUGUCACUUGACAAAUCAGCAACAGGCCAAGUAAGACUUGAAAAUGGCAUGCUGGAAACCAUCAAGGGCAAAGGCAACAUUGCCAUUGAAACCAAGGAAGGUAAAAAAUUUAUCACUGAUGUAAAUUUUGUUCCUACCCUCUCACAGAAUCUACUCAGUGUUAAUCAGAUGACUGAUCAAGGCUACUCGGUUGGAUUCAAGGAUAACUGCCGCAGGAUAUAUGAUCCUGAGGAUCGCUUGAUUGCCUUCAUCUAAAAGAAGAAUCAAGUCUACUCCUUGAAACUCAGAGAAGUAGUUGAAAGAGCCAGUGUUGCCUCUGUAACUGAAGGCGAGAUUUGGCACAAGCGCCUUGGGCAUUUUCAUGCGGCUGGGCUACAACAACUACAGAAGGAAAGUCUAACCAAGGACUUCCCAAAUAUUGCAGUCACUGAGACAGUAUGUGGUGCAUGUCAGCUAGGGAAAUUGACAAGGAAUUCAUUUCCUUCGCAAGCAGAUUGGAGAGCAAAAGAGAAGCUGACACUUAUCCAUUCUGACAUUUGUGGUCCAAUGACAGAAAACUCCAUGAGUGGUUGCAGGUAUUUUGGCUUGUUCAUAGAUGAUUUUUCCAGGAUGAUUUGGGUUUGUUUCCUGCAGAAUAAAGCUCAAAUUUUUGGUGAAUUCAAGAAGUUCAAGGUUAUUGUAGAGAAGGAAAGUGGCAGUGUACUGAGGUACCUAAGGACAGAUAAUGGGCUUGAAUUCAAUUCCAGCCAAUUCAAUGAUUUCUGUUCUGAGAAUGGGAUCAAAAGGUAGCUCACGACACCAUAUUCUCCUCAACAAAAUGGUGUCUCGGAGAGGAAGAACAGAACCAUUAUGGAAAUGGCAAGAAGCAUGCUUGCUGACAAGCACCUGCCUAAAGCCUUGUGGGCUGAGGCAGUGAACACUGUUGUGUUCCUGCUCAACAUGCUGCCUACAAAGGCUGUAAAGUAGAUGACACCGGUAGAGGCCUGGAGUGGUAUGAAACCAUCAACAAAGUAUCUAAAGGUGUUUAGAUCAGUGUGCUACUGCCAUGUCUCGGAUGAUAGGAGAUCCAAGCUAGAAAUGAAAGCUGAGUUGGGAGUAUUUUUGGGAUACAGUAUUGAAACAAAAGCAUACAGAAUUCUAAACUUGAAAACCAACAAGCUUAUGAUUCGAAAAAAUAUAACGGUGGAUAAAAACAGCUACUAGAAUUGAGAGAAGCAGAAAGUCGAACGAGACUGUGUCACAUUUGAAGAAGGAAAGAAAUCAAUGAUAGUAUCAAACCCAACUCAGAGUGAUGAAGAAGAUGAANNNNNNNNNNNNNNNNNNNNNNNNNNNNNNNNNNNNNNNNNGAAACAAUUAGACUCAUUCUGGCCAUGGCAGCUCAGUUUGGUUGGAGUGUGAUGCACUUGGAUGUGAAAUCGACCUUCUUGAAUGGCAAACUGAAUGAAGAAAUUUAUGUUGAGCAGCCACCGGGGUUUAUUCAACUUGGAAAGGAGAGUCACGUCUAUCUUCUUCACAAGGCCCUAUACGGCCUCAAACAGGCUCCACGAGCUUGGUAUGAUAAGUUAAAUACAUACUUACUUCACUGUGGGUUUGAGAGAAGUAUGACAGAAAAUACACUGUAUGUGAAUAAAGAUGAAGACCAACUUAUCACUGCAGUAUAUGUUGAUGAUAUACUGGUGACAGGCAGCAACAAAAGGAAAAUGAUAGAGUUCAAGCAGAAAUUAGAAAAUGAAUUUGAGAUGUCUGAUCUUGGAGAAGCUACCUACUUCCUGGGAAUGGAGAUUCAUCAAAAUAACUUGGGUAUUUUUCUUUCACAAGGCAAGUAUGCCAAAGAAAUUCUAAAUAAAUUCAAUAUAAAUCACUAUAAAUCAGUAUCUACACCACUGGUGUCCAAUCUGAAAUUGUCAAAGGAUGAGAAAGGUAGCCAAGUUGAAGAAGGGAAUUACAGAAGUCUAAUUGGGAGCCUUCUGUAUCUCACAGCUACCAGACCAGAUAUUUUGUUUGCAAUAAGUUUACUUUCAAGGUUCAUGGCUUCACCGAGGGAAUCACACUUACAAGCUGCCAAACAUGUGCUGAGGUAUUUGAAAGGAACCUGGAAUUUUGGUGUUCAAUUCAAAGCAAGACCAGAAGGUGGAUUAGUCGGCUACAGUGACAGUGAUUGGGCAGGAAUUGUAGAAGAUGCAUGUAGCACAACUGGGUACUUGUUCAAAAUAGGCUCCGGUGUUUUUUCAUGGGCAUCUAAGAAACAGGAUACUGUGGCUCAAUCCACAGCUGAGGCUGAGUAUGUAGCCGCAGCUACAACAACUAACCAAGCAAUUUGGUUGAGGAAGGUGUUCAACGAUCUAAAGCUGGAAAAACAAUCACCUACAGUGUUGUAUGUAGACAACAAGUCUGCAAUUGCCAUUGCGAAAAAUCCAGUAAUGCACGGGAAAACUAAACACAUCAACGUUAAGUAUCAUGCUAUACGUGAGGUUGAGAGGAAUCAAGAAAUCAAGCUGAUACAUUGCUCCACUGAUGAUCAGCUUGCGGACAUUCUAACCAAGGUCCUGUCUAAAGCUAAAUUUGAGGAUUUGCGAGAAAAAAUAGGGGUUGGUGGAAAAAGUCAUUAAGAGGGAGUGUUAAAAUUAAUGACUUUUUUAUCUGUUCAGUUUAAAUUCAAAAGGAAGGAAAUCUAUCGAGAAGAUAUAUCACAGUAAGAUACGUAAACUUCACGAGACGUGUAUGCAUGUUUUUCGGAUGAUUUGACUUGAUUACUUGUAAUCGAUAUCUCUAUAUAUAUGCUGAAAUAAAAAGAUCAAUUAUCUUCUUCUCUCAAAAAAAUAGAAAGUGAAACUCCUCUUAGAAAACAGCAAAACAGAGGCAGUUGCAGGUUUUUGCUCUGUUUUGCUGCCCUCUCUCUCUCCUCAACUCUCUCUCUAAGUUUGUUCUGCAGAGCCUACUUCAAAGCUCUUCGUUUUUCGACUAACAAGCGGCAACGUAGAUUGCCAUGGAAAUUUGAUUAGUGAAGUUGCAGAGAGCAUAUGUCAAUGCGAAACCUGCUGCGCUGUGACCUACC
rnacentral:lncRNA from 1 species